UGCCUAAUACAUGCAAGUCGAACGAGUUCUGAUUAUUGAAAGGUGCUUGCAUCUUGAUUUAAUUUUGAACGAGUGGCGGACGGGUGAGUAACACGUGGGUAACCUGCCCUUAAGUGGGGGAUAACAUUUGGAAACAGAUGCUAAUACCGCAUAAAUCCAAGAACCGCAUGGUUCUUGGCUGAAAGAUGGCGUAAGCUAUCGCUUUUGGAUGGACCCGCGGCGUAUUAGCUAGUUGGUGAGGUAACGGCUCACCAAGGCAAUGAUACGUAGCCGAACUGAGAGGUUGAUCGGCCACAUUGGGACUGAGACACGGCCCAAACUCCUACGGGAGGCAGCAGUAGGGAAUCUUCCACAAUGGACGCAAGUCUGAUGGAGCAACGCCGCGUGAGUGAAGAAGGCUUUCGGGUCGUAAAACUCUGUUGUUGGAGAAGAAUGGUCGGCAGAGUAACUGUUGUCGGCGUGACGGUAUCCAACCAGAAAGCCACGGCUAACUACGUGCCAGCAGCCGCGGUA
rnacentral:rRNA from 2 species